CGAGCAUCCCGCGUCGCGCCUCCCCCUCCCUCUUAGUCAAGGCGAGCGUCCCCGCCGUGCUCCCACCUCCCUCUUAGUCAAGGCGAGCGUUCCCCGUCCCGGGUCCCUCGCCGCGCUCCCACCUCCCCCUUAGUUCUAUCGCGCGUCCUAUGUCGCGGGUCCCACGCCGCGCUCCCACCUCCCCUUAGUUAUAUCCCGCGUCCCCGUCACGGGUCCCCCGCCGCGCUCCCACCUCCGGUUUAGCCAUGAUGAGCGUCCCCCGCCGCGCUCCCACCUCCCCUUUAGUCAAGGCGCGCGUCCCCCGUCGCGGGUACCCCGUCGCGCUCCCACCUCCCACUUAGUCAAGGCUAGCGUCCCACGCCGUGCUCCCACCUCCCCCUUAGUCAUAUCGCGCGUCCUCUGUCGCGGGUCCCCCGCCGCGAUCCCACUCCCCUUAAUCAAGGCGAGCAUCCCCCGUCGCGCUCCCACCUUCCCCUUAGUUAUAUCGCGCGUCCUAUGUCGCGUCCCCCGUCGCGCUCCCACCUCCGGUUUAGCCAAGACGAGCGUCCCCCGCCGCGCUUCCACCUCCCCCUUAAUCAAGGCGAGCGUCCCCCGUCGCGGGUCCCCCGCCGCGCUCCCACCUCCCCCUUAGUCAAGGCGAGCGUCCCCCGUCGCGCUCCCACCUCCCCCUUAGUCAUACCGCGCGUCGUCCGUCGCGGGUUCCCCCGCGCUCCCACCUCUCCCUUAGUCAAAGAGAGCGUCCCCCGCCGCGCUCCCACCUCCUGUUCCCGUCCCCUCAACGGGCUACCUCCAUCCUCACCGCGCUGUGCUCCCAUCCUCCGCCACCGGUCCCAUCCUCUGCCGUGCUCCCGUCCUCCGCCGUGCUCCCUUUUCCUGCACUUGAGGAUCAAGGAGUUGACUACUCAAGGGACUGGAAAGAGUCUGGAGAAGUCAUGGCUGUCAGGUGAAGUUCCUCGUGUGCCAUCAAGUUCCUGUAACCAUCAGGAAGAUCAACCUGAUAUCAUGGUCAUCUACGACGAGUUAUGA
rnacentral:lncRNA from 1 species